UUGAAAAACCAUCCCGUGGCUAUUUCCAAAUACCCCGGUAUACGGUAUACGGUAUACGGUAUAUACGGUAUACGGUAUGCCGCCCAAGCCUAGUUCAGGAGCAGUCUUCAACCACAGGUGGAGAGGGGAAGGUGUAGAGGAGGAGUCAAUUGCACACAAGGUACAACCAAAAUUUGACCUCCGCUUUUCACCCAACCCAUUCUACAUAGAGGUAUUGGAGAGGUGUGGGGGGCUGCCACACUGGGUGCCCGGGGAGCUGUUGAUGUGGGGGGUUAAGUGCCUUGCUUAAGGGCACAACGACAGGCAAUGGCAUCUAGGAUUUGAUACCAACAACCUUCCAGUUGCCAGCUGACUUCCUGCCAGAUUUUUCUUGUCGGUCCGGGAUUCAAACUGGCUGCUGGCUGGCUUCUAACCGCAAGGGGAAAAGGAGGAGGGGGAGUAUUUCAUGUGUUUUUAAUUGCACUAUAGUCUAUUAGUCUAAUAAUCAAACAUGUUUGUCCAUGUGGACUCAGGGUGGGAGUGUAUCUGCCAUGUACGCUGGCUCAGAGCUACUAGAGAAGUCAAUAUUUGAAGCAAUAAGUCAUUCACAGUUCAAUAAUUUUCAUGUUUUUUAUUGGAGAGAAGUGUGCAAUAUGUUUUUUUCAUUUUGAGGGCAUACAUUGUAAUAGCUAACUUAUCAUCUGAGGAAAGGCUGUUUUACUGGAACACUGUUUCAGAAUGGGAUUGUUUUUAAAGUAGAAGUCAUCUGCACAUCUAGAGGCUGGCGGCAGCAGGUUAGUCUGAGUAAUCAGUUACUAUCCAUCCUGACUGGCAGCAGGCUAGCAGGUUAGGGUGAGUAAUCAGUUACUAUCCAGCCUGACGGGCAGGAAGCUAGCAGGUUAGGGUGAGUAAUCAGUUACUAUCCAUCCUGACUGGCAACAGGCUAGCAGGUUAGGGUGAGUAAUCAGUUACUAUCCAGCCUGACUGGCAACAGGCUAGCAGGUUAGGGUGAGUAAUCAGUUACUAUCCAGCCUGACUGGCAACAGGCUAGCAGGUUAGGGUGAGUAAUCAGAUACUAUCCAGCCUGACGGGCAGGAAGCUAGCAGGUUAGGGUGAGUAAUCAGAAACUAUCCAGCCUGACGGGCAGGAAGCUAGCAGGUUAGGGUGAGUAAUCAGAUACUAUCCAGCCUGACGGGCAGGAAGCUAGCAGGUUAGGGUGAGUAAUCAGUUACUAUCCAUCCUGACUGGCAACAGGCUAGCAGGUUAGGGUGAGUAAUCAGUUACUAUCCAUCCUGACUGGCAACAGGCUAGCAGGUUAGGGUGAGUAAUCAGUUACUAUCCAUCCUGACUGGCAACAGGCUAGCAGGUUAGGGUGAGUAAUCAGAUACUAUCCAGCCUGACGGGCAGGAAGCUAGCAGGUUAGGGUGAGUAAUCAGUUACUAUCCAGCCUAACUGGCAACAGGCUAGCAGGUUAGGGUGAGUAAUCAGAAACUAUCCAGCCUGACUGGCAACAGGCUAGCAGGUUAGGGUGAGUAAUCAGAUACUAUCCAUCCUGACGGGCAGGAAGCUAGCAGGUUAGGGUGAGUAAUCAGUUACUAUCCAGCCUAACUGGCAACAGGCUAGCAGGUUAGGGUGAGUAAUCAGAAACUAUCCAGCCUGACUGGCAACAGGCUAGCAGGUUAGGGUGAGUAAUCAGAUACUAUCCAUCCUGACGGGCAGGAAGCUAGCAGGUUAGGGUGAGUAAUCAGUUACUAUCCAUCCUGACUGGCAACAGGCUAGCAGGUUAGGGUGAGUAAUCAGAUACUAUCCAUCCUGACGGGCAGGAAGCUAGCAGGUUAGGGUGAGUAAUCAGAAACUAUCCAGCCUGACUGGCAACAGGCUAGCAGGUUAGGGUGAGUAAUCAGAAACUAUCCAGCCUGACUGGCAACAGGCUAGCAGGUUAGGGUGAGUAAUCAGUUACUAUCCAUCCUGACUGGCAACAGGCUAGCAGGUUAGGGUGAGUAAUCAGAUACUAUCCAGCCUGACUGGCAACAGGCUAGCAGGUUAGGGUGAGUAAUCAGAUACUAUCCAGCCUGACUGGCAACAGGCUAGCAGGUUAGGUGAGUAAUCAGAUACUAUCCAGCCUGACUGGCAACAGGCUAGCAGGUUAGGGUGAGUAAUCAGAUACUAUCCAGCCUGACUGGCAACAGGCUAGCAGGUUAGGGUGAGUAAUCAGAUACUAUCCAGCCUGACUGGCAACAGGCUAGCAGGUUAGGGUGAGUAAUCAGAUACUAUCCAGCCUAACUGGCAGGAAGCUAGCAGGUUAGGGUGAGUAAUCAGAUACUAUCCAGCCUGACUGGCAGGAAGCUAGCAGGUUAGGGUGAGUAAUCAGAUACUAUCCAGCCUAACUGGCAGAAAGCUAGCAGGUUAGGGUGAGUAAUCAGUUACUAUCCAGCCUAACUGGCAGAAAGCUAGCAGUAACCUAUAGUAACUGUUAGUAACCUGUAGGUUGAAUAGCAUCAGCUUGGCACUAUGAUGGAGGAGGUCAGGGACAACAGACAGAACUCACUGGAAUCUGUAAGAGUUCUAGAAGAGAAUUCUCUAAUAGUUCUAUAGAAGUCUGUUCUACACUUCUAUGUACAUAACGCUAGUUGCUAAAGCUGGGUCCAUAUCAUAUAUGAUAUUAUGCACUGCUAUUGGUUUAUGUUUUUAAUUACCAUCGCACCAAUCUCUGGUGAGAGGAUUAAAUUAGGUUUUAGAGGCGAGACAUUGCAGUAUAAUGAAAUUCACUACUUAAAAUGUUUAUGAAAAUAUAUCGAAAGUUCUUAAUAACCUGUGCUUUAAUUGAAGAUAUUGAAUAAUGCUGCUUGUUUAUUAAAUGUUUAUUUAAUCAAACAUUUUUAACAUGCUUCAGAUGACUGAGUAGAGAUAGUUUACUUCAACAUUAGUUAAAAUCAGAGAGCUUUUUUGUCGUAAAUAUUGAACUUUUACAUAAAAUGGCACAUAAGUGUUGAAUAAACUGUGGUUGAUCCUGAA